GGGAAUGGAUGCCGACCUGGUGGAGGCCGCGGCCUUCAAAGCCGUUGCGGGGCAGUGCACCUGUCCUGGCUGGGUUCGAUUCCCAGACGUUCCCGCCA
rnacentral:tRNA from 1 species